rnacentral:rRNA from 1 species
UACGUAGGGACCAAGCGUUGUUCGGAUUUACUGGGCGUAAAGGGCGCGUAGGCGGCGUGGUAAGUCACUUGUGAAAUCUCUGAGCUUAACUCAGAACGGCCAAGUGAUACUGCUGUGCUAGAGUGCAGAAGGGGCAAUCGGAAUUCUUGGUGUAGCGGUGAGAUGCGUAGAUAUCAAGAGGAACACCUGAGGUGAAGACGGGUUGCUGGGCUGACACUGACGUGGAGGCGCGAAAGCUAGGGGGAGCAAACGGGG